CCUUCCUUAGGCUGUAAAUUGUAUUUUUUAAUGAAAAUGUAUUUUUUUAUUAUUUAUAUUUUAUAAUGGCGCUCCAUGCAGUAAUGCCAGCCACAUGACCUUGGAGGGGUCUACGGACAACGCUGGCUCAUUGGCUUAGAAGUGGAGAUGAGCACCAACCCCAGAGUCAAACAUGACUAGACUUAACGUCAGGGGGAACUUUACCUUUACCUUUUUAUGAUUUAUAAUAGUCUUUUAGAGUUUAUUGAAAAACUGCAAAACAGCGAAUCUGUGAAAAGUGAACCGUGAAGUAGUGAGGGAACACUGUAUAUACAUUUAUAAGUCAAUUGCAGGUUUGGGAGCCAAUAUUAUGGAUUUUGAUAUGGCCCUAGAGAAGUUGAGGAUCAUUCUGCAAAGAGGGGAGAGCACCACAGCCACCUUUUCUUCACAAAAGCAUUUUAAAAGUCAGAAGCAACAACACAGCAAAGAGUAGAGGGAGCUGGUGCUUGUUUUAGGGUCUCCUGAGACAGACUAAGAACCUUAUCACACUAGAGUUUGGUUCCACAUUAAAUCCACUUUAAAUCCACUUUAGCGAGGGGCCUUUAAACAGGUCAGCCAGACAGGUCCUGGGCCUCACUAAACUACAAACCCCAGAAUUCUGCAGGAGGCAGAAAAUGGAUUUAAAGUGGAUCCAUGCUCUGGUGUGAUGAGGUAGUAAGUUCUUUCCUUUCGUUGUGGAUAACUAGGACUGCGAAUAAAAGGAUCCAUGCCUGGAGAGUCUAAACUAUGCCAAAUUGGGCCAGGACAGAGACACUCAGCAGGUUGAAGACAAGCCACAGAAGUUUAUUUGAUCUGGCCAGGACAGAUGCAAGUACAAGUGGAUGCUUUGAAGGUGAUGGGGAAAUACUUUGGAAAAAACAAAGAUGUGAGACACUAGGAACAAAAGUUUAGAAGAGCCAUGAUCAUGAAGACUGGAGGAUUCUCAGAAUUGUAGUCAAAAAAGUAAUUUUUCUAAGCACACAACUCUUUCCAGUGAAGAAAAAUGAAGAGAUACUGUCAUAUAACUUCAUUAAUUACACCUUUCUUUCUCAUAUUACUUCUGUUGUUGGCUUUGCUGUGUGUCCCUCCUGUUGUGAAAUCUAGCUGAACUUGGAGAAUUCUACAAUUAAAGACUGGACUGUCCACAA